UGCUACGGGGAGCGUGGGAAAGGCAGGAGGGAUUUCAGGCAGUUAGUGACCUGGGAUUUCAGGCAGUUAGUGACCUGGAGAUCACACUGGGGGCUUCCUCGCGGCUCCCAAGUCUCUGAGAGCUCCCAGUGGGAACCAGUGGGGGGAGGGCUGGUGAGUGCGGAACGGCUCCAAGUGCCUGUUGCUUUUGGAAGCGGGUGUCAAAGCAGCCAGAGAAUGCACUUAUUGUUCCAUUCUAUGUGGAUUCCAAGCCACUGCCUUCCAUCUGUUGAAUGUCUGGGUUUUGCUUAUUGAGAGAGCGCCUGGUGCCCGCGGGCUCCUGCCUCCCUCGGGGCCUGCUCCAGCCUCGCCGACCCGGCCCGCGGUCAUUGCCUUUCCCUUGUCUGGCCCUCCGGCCUCCACCCGGAACACGAGCCCUCAGAGUCCUCCCGGCCGCCUGGAGCACUGGCCAGGAUGGAGCCCUGGGGGCGGCGGGGCUCGUGCCCUUUAAGGAAGCAUUCUUCCCCAGCCUUUGGACAGUCUUGCAGGUGUCACUUCGUGUCCCUUGCUGGCUGUCAAAGAAUGAUGAUGGCUUUGGCCUUGCCUCCAGCCCAGUGAAGGGACCGCAUCGGAGCCCGGGCACCAUGAGACUUGCUUUAGAAGUGGCUAGAAGGGAGAGAUCGGGGCCGCGGGAGACCUUUGAGCUGGGGGUAGCCUCGCUUGGGUGGUUAGAGUUGGCCGCCUGACUCAUGGUCGGGAUAACGUGUCCCCAGAAAAUUGGAGCGAGCGCGAUUAUUAUAGUUCAGUUUUGUCGUUGAACGCUCGGAUGUUAUUUGGGCUAAUCCAGUGAUGGACCUGUGGGCCGGUGUGCUGCCUGGCGUGGAGACCUCACCGCCCAGCAGAUGGCUCGUUAGCCCGAUGCUUAUUUAUUCCCCAUGUAUCCCAGUCACCUGACCCGACCCUCUCCAGUCAUCUCCUUCUGGCGCCCUGGAAGGACAGGUGUCCGAAUGCCGUGUGCGGCUCUGAGGAGCGUGCACAUCUCCGUCCGGCAUCCCGUGGGGCGCUGGGGCCUCCUGGCUGCCUGGUUCUGUAGCCAGAAUAAUGAUCUCUCUCGUCAGCGUGUGAGGAGCUAGGAUGCCGCCGCGGGUCCGGUUCAGAGAGACUUAGCUCUCGCCCCCGAGAGGAGUCCUUGCCUUUGCCUCAUGCCCGCGUGGGGCAGUGGUUCCAGCGCGCAUCAGCACCGCUGUGCGUCCGCGCCUCCCCUGGUGCUGGCGUUCGGGAGGGAAUACACUAAAAUCUCGGGCUGGAGGAGCUGGCGUUUCACUGCGAGACACACAAGGUGGGACAAAUAAAUGGAGCAUGUCGCGUGUUGGAUCGUCAUGAGUGCAAAGGAGAAAAGUCACUUGGGGAAGGAGAUUCCAAAUGUGGCACGUGGGGGCUUGACAUAUUAAAGAGUGAGCCAGGCACAGUGCGCAGGAGUCGGGGAGCCAGGAGCCCAGGAGGAAAGAACCUUCUAGCAAAGGGAUCAUCCCGCUGCUGGGUGGCAGGGCUGCAGCAGGGAGAGCUGCAAAGACACUGCUGCUGUCGCUUUUGCAAACAACACUGGCGGUCGUGGACCACAGCGGUGAGAAGUGGCUGGAUUCCGCACCCGGUUUGGAGGUUGCUCACAUCUUUCAUUUCUGCUCAUCGCUUGGGUUGAUGUCAUUUCGACCUGUUUGCUCUCCUUCCCUUUUAUAUCGUGUGGUCCUGCCUGAACUCCUGCUCCCUCAUCCUGGACGGCCCCUGGGGUAGGUAAGGUCCGAGGAGCCAGCGCUCCCCUGUAUGUCCUGAAUCAGCCCAGGUGUCUCCUGGGGUCCUCGACCUGCAUUCCUGGCCACCAGGCGUGCAGCCGGUGUAAGUUCCAAGAAUCAAGACAAAACCCGAGAAAACCACCUGCCUCUGCCUGCUGGGCUGGGGGCUGGGGGCAGGAUGGGGAGCCUGGGUGGAGCGGGAGGCCCAACUUGGAGUUCACGUAGUCCCAGGGGGAGUCACAGGGAAGGAAGCCUCCGAUUGUCUGGGAUGUUCCGAGUGCGAGCUCCUGCCUAAACCUCACAGGGAAGGGGAAGUGGUGAGGGAGCGCCCGGAGAUGCAAAGCCACCGGGCUCCUGAGGACCAGAACCGAGUCCAGCCUCUGUCUCUGGCCCCGCGUGGACUCUGUGCUUUCUUCCGGUGCCGAAUGCACAGGUGCGUUCUGUAUGCAGAGCUUACUCGCUAACCGCCGCAAAGACCGCACCAAGGGAGAAUUUCAAAGUAAGGCAUCAGAGCCAAAAUGAAGAGCAGAGGGACCAAGCUGAGACACGGUGGGAGGGGCUGGCCCUGGUCCCCGGGUCCCACACAGGCUCUUCAUCUCUGGCUUGAGGACGCGAAGCCACGUGAGGAGGAAGAGCAGGUCUCCCGUGUCUCUGCAGGGAGGAUGCAGAGAUUAGCAGGGAAGUUCAGGGAAAAGUCCAGAGGACGACGUGUGUCCGGGGUGGCUUGGCCAGGCGGAGCAUCCUCCCUUGCGGCCAGCAGCGCCCAGCACCUGCUCCCAGCACCUGCUGCUGGUCUGCCCCGAGGGCAUCCCCCUGCCUGUUCUUUUCCUUGGGCCUACCUGGUGUUUUUAAUAAUUGCUCUGGGAAGGAUCCAGUGGCUGCCUCUACCAAUUCUUUUUCUGAACCAGGGGUGGGGUGGGGGGCACCAAAUGAAUGUAUGGAACAAGCCAAGUGCAUUGGUGCCAACUGCAUAUAUGGCGCUGAGCAGGCUUUAUGAGGGGAGAUUGGGGUGUGCCGGGCUCUGGGAGCCCCGUAGGACGGGAUUAAAAUGAACACGCUCACUGGAUCUAAGACGCUUUACACUCUGACAGUUUUAUCAUCCGCCUCUUGGAGGGAUCAGCCUGUUUCAUACAUACAUAAGGAACUGAAAACCCCGUAAACUGCUCUAACCCCCUGGGGAAGCCGCUUGGCAGGAUGCUCCAGGAUCUGCCCCGAGCUUCGGGGCGAAGGGAGGAAAAGCGUGUGCAGCAAGGGCCCGUGUUACCGGAGUUUGAUUUGUACCCACGUCAGCUUGUGUCUUUUCAUGGUGUUGGUAAUUAUAAAAUUAUUACUGUUUGUAAAUGUUUCAAAUAAUGCAGUGCGAGAGGCAGGGUCCCGAACAGAUCAGGACGUGGAGCCCCACCGUCUUCUGAAUCCUCGGCCCGUGGCUCUCUGACUUGCACAUUUUCUUUUUUCUUCUCUUGUUCCCUGCGCGGUGGUCGUUGGGAUCUUCCCAGGAUUUUGUGGUUCCGAGUAGUAUAGGCAGGAACCUCAUGGGCGUCCUUGGGGAGCCGUGCUGUUAGUCUGUAGCACUGAUCCUGGGACGUCAGGCUUCAGGGUGGAGGUGUAUGCACAUCUAAAUUUUUGAUUUUGGGAACACCUGGGUGGGGUCGGCGUUUGAGUGUCUGCCUUCGGCUCAGGUCGUGACCCCGGGGUCCCGGGAUCGAGUCCCGCAUCGGUCUCCCCGCAGGGAGCCUGCUUCUCCCUCUGCCUGUGUCUCUGCCUCUCCCUCUGGGUCUCUCAUGAAUAAAUAAAUAAAUAAUCUUUUUAAAAAAUCUUUAAAUUUUUGACUUUGCUGAAUUGCCCUCUGGAUGGUUAUAGCACGGUUCUGGCUGCCAUCAGCAAGCGGAGAGGUCCUUUCUGCCACACUUUGAACAAAAUGAGAUAGCCGUGAUCCUGUUUGCAUUUGCCAAUCGAAGAAGAAGAGAAACAUCUUUUUUUCCCUUUUUUUAAACAUUUAUUUGAGAGAGAGAGAGAGAGAGAAUGCAUGCACAAGCCAAAGGGUGGGAGGAGGCAGAGGGAGAGGGAGAAAGAAUCCGCAUCAGAGUCCUCGCCGAGCAUAGAGCCUGAAGUCGGGCUUGAUUCCACGACCCUGAGGUCAUGACCUGAGCCGAAACCAAGAGUUGGACACGUAACCACCUAUGCUACCAGGCGCCCCAGAAACAUCUUAUUUUAGCUUGCAUUUCUGUGUUUUCAAGUGAGAUGAGACAGCUCUCCUGCUUGUGGGCCGUUUGUGCUUCUCUGGCAAAUUCAUAUUCUUUGCCCUUGUUUUAUUAAAAAAUAUUUUUUAUUAUUGA